rnacentral:rRNA from 1 species
CCCUUAGAUGUUCUGGGCCGCACGCGCGCUACACUGAUGCAUUCAGCGAGUCCAUCCUUGCCCGAAAGGGCUGGGUAAUCUUUUGAAAUUGCAUCGUGAUGGGGCUUGCGGGUUGCAACUACCCGCACCAACGAGGAAUUCCUAGUAAACGCAAGUCAACAACUUGCAUUGAUUACGUCCCUGCCCUUUGUACACACCGCCCGUCGCUCCUACCGAUUGAAUGGUCCGGUGAAGCGUUUGGACUAUGGUUUUCUGAUGGUCCGCCGUUGGAUUACCGUGGGAAGUUCGUUAAACCUUAUCAUUUAGAGGAAGGAGAAGUCGUAACA